AUAUGUAAGAUAAAAUUUCUUGCUAAAAAUGACUUUGGGAUAAAACUUGGAAAGAUAAACAUCACUUGAGCCACUACUGCUAUCAUACCUUGUCACUCAGCUAGUCAGUGGGAUUGAAGGAGGGGUAUGAGGAGACGGGUGUUCUGACUCUGAUUAUACAUUCACAGUAUCCUGAGAAGAAAAGGCUGGAGGGCCUGUCAAAGCAGCUGGAUUGGAAUGUCCGAAAAAUCCAAUGUUGGUUUCGCCAUCGGAGGAAUCAGGACAAGCCCCCAACGCUUACUAAAUUCUGUGAAAGCAUUCACCUUGGUUCUGGGACAUCCAACAGUGCUGGCAUAACUAUCCAUUUCAGCCUCUUUCAAGUGGGCUUUAUUACUAUUAUAUCAUGGAAUUGGCCUUCUAUUGGUCCCUUAUGUUUUCUCAGUUUACAGACAUUAAAAGAAAGGACUUCCUGAUUAUGUUUGUGCAUCACUUGGUCACCAUUGGGCUUAUCUCCUUCUCCUACAUCAACAAUAUGGUUCGAGUGGGAACUCUGAUCAUGUGUCUACAUGAUGUCU
rnacentral:sRNA from 1 species